AUAGUUGGAAACAUCUGUGAUGGUUUACAUGGUUUGUGAUUUGGUGUUAUAAAGCUAUUUGGGAAUUUAGUGAACUGUGUAAUUAAUAUGAGAUUUUAUUUGGAGUUCAACCCAAUGGGGUAUUUAUCUAAGAAAGGGUUUUAGUGCAAAGUAUGCCAACCCAAUAUUUUGUUGGAGUUUAAACUAAUUUAUGAAACAAAGGUUUCAUAAUAGAAUUCAAAACCUAUUUUAUGUAUUACUUAUAAAGCCCUAAUGACAUUUAUAUAAGCAAAAGUAUUUUUACUUAUUUUAUUUUGAAAGGAUUCAAGUCCCAAAAGUUCACACUUUGGAGGAUUUGAAUUUACAAAUUUACUGAAGUUUAUUUGGACCUAUUUGGAGUUAGGAAUCAAAAGUUAUUAAUAAAAAUAGAAAUGGAAAAAAAAAGAAAAAAAAAAGAGAAUGGGCCGGCCCAUCUCCACCGAACGCCCCAGCCAGCGAGCACGAGCUAGUGCUCGUCUUCCUCCUCUGCACGGAAAGAAUCCUCUCCUUUCAUGUUUUCUUUCUUCGAUUUUUUCCUUCCCGUGCGUCUCUCUCCGAAAGGAAACCACCCCAUCAAUCCUCACCAUCCCGGGAAC
rnacentral:lncRNA from 1 species